UACAGAGGUGCCAAGCGUUAGGCGGAAUCACUGGGCUUAAAGCGCGUGUAGGUGGGUCGUUAAGUGUCCGCGUGAAAUCCCACGGCUCAACCGUGGAACUGCCGGGCAUACUGGCGAUCUUGAGGCAUUCAGGGGCGAGCGGAACAAGUGGUGGAGCGGUGAAAUGCGUAGAUAUCACUUGGAACGCCAAUGGUGAAAACAGGUUGCUGGGAGUGCGCUGACGCUGAGACACGAAAGCCAGGGGAGCAAACGGG
rnacentral:rRNA from 1 species